CAGUGUGUAACCAAGAUGCGUCCGGAAAAUACUUGUAUAAGUAAACACAGAGAAUUUGUUUAAAACAUUUUUUUACCAGACAACGUGUACGGAGUGCUAUGCAGCAGUGAGAACAGUGUCGAGAAGCACCUGGAGAUGGGGAAGAAGCUCCUGGCUGCCGGACAGCUGGCCGACGCACUUUCCCAUUUCCACGCAGCUGUUGACGGUGACCCGAAAAAAUACUUGGCCUACUACAGAAGAGCCACCGUCUACCUGGCCACGGACAAGUCUAAAUCCGCUUUACCGGAUCUAAGCAAAGUCAUCGAGUGUCAUGAUUUCCCCUUGAAGCAGCGUGCUCUAAGCGCGAAUGCGCGAGCACCUGCUUUUCCGUUGUUGACAGUAGUGACAUCUGGACACGUGUGUUUUGUUUAUGUUUCUGUCAUGUCUCCUCCCUGUUCUGUCAUUGGCUGGGAUUUCACGUGUGCCUGUAUUGCCCUCAGCAAGUUUAGAGGCUUAUCAGUUUAGACGCUGAUCAUGUCCACAUAUAUACCGCGCGGCUCCCAGCACACAACGCGGAAGAUUAUCGUAGAGUUAGAUUGGUUCGUGUGGUAAUAGUCACGGUCCAUGUUUAGAGUUAGUUCACGCUGGAUUAUCCGCUCCCAGUUCCUCGUCAUAGUUCAUGUUUCUCGUUUAGUUUAUCGACCCUGUUUUCCGUGACACGACCUUGAUUCAUGUUUAACCCUGUGUAUGCCUGUUUGCCGAUCGCCUGACCUUCGCCUGUUUUGGAUCACGUUUUGGAUUUGUCUGCCUGUCUCUCUUUUAAAAUAAACAACUGUUCAUACUGCAAUUGCAUCCGUCUUAUCUCCGCUCCGUCACGAUACGUGACAUCGAGUUAAACCUGAUUUCACAUCGGAUAGCCCAGAAGAAGCUCAUUAAAGCCUACAGGGAGUUGUCACAGCAGUGACACCCAGACAACGUCCAGGAUCCUGAAGAGAAGAACAAGGCUGAGAAGAAGUUCAUAGACAUCCCACAGGCCAAGGAAGUGCUCACUGAGCCAGAAACGAGGAGUUCAUUUGACAAGGGUGAAGUCCCAAUGGACCCUGAGAGCAAGCACGGAGAAGGCCAUCACCAUUUCCACGGGGCCUGGGAGAGUUUCCAGGGCUUUAACCCUAUUGGCUCUGGACUGUUCAACUUUAAAUUCAACUUUAACUAAGAUCAUCCAGGAGGACAUCAGUCUGAUCUGAAUAUAUAGCAUCAGGCAUGCAGCGAGAAGUGUAACCUGUUGAACCUGUUUGACACUAACUGCCAUAGAUGUGGCUACAGAAGCCACUGUGGCAUGAAGAUGCAUCAUAUGCUGUUGAAUAUUCUCAGACUUGCCAAGCUGAGCUAAGUGGUAUUAUAUAAAGUAAUUAUUUCAGGGACCAUCAGAGUGUGGGGGUUCAUUCCCAAGCAACCAACUAUCCUAAAACUAUUGUGUGUGUGUGUGUGUGUGUGUGUGUGUGUGUGUGUGUGUGUGUGUGUGUGUGUGUGUGUGUGUGUGUGUGUAUAGGAGACUGCACUAUUUUUCUAUCAGUUAAAUAAUGCUGCAUUGUAAAUACACAAUUAAAGAUAUUACGUAUUUAAUUAAAAAGAAAGUGACAUUAUUCUCCGA